UUUGAAAGGGAAACGAUUGAAGUCAGUCGUACCUUCGGGUAAUCAGCCUUUUGGGUGUGAUUUUGUGGAGUGUGAGGAGUUAAACGCCUUCAUGCCUGCAUAUUCGUGCACUUUGGGUGUACUUGCUCGUGUGGUAAGUUAACAUCAAUUUUGGUGAUCAUAAAAUGGCUGGAGGAAUGUAGCUUCGAUCUCGUAUUGAAGUGUUAUAGCCUUCGGCAGAUGUGAUGAUCGGGAUUGAGGAUUGCAACGGAUACCCUUCGGGGCUACCUGUCUGAUCUCUGAUCGUUGC
rnacentral:rRNA from 1 species